AGGGCUUGACAUCUAACGAAUUUCUAUGAAAGUAGGAAGUGCUCUUCGGAGAGCGUUAAGACAGGUGGUGCACGGUUGUCGUCAGCUCGUGUCGUGAGAUGUUGGGUUAAGUCCCGCAACGAGCGCAACCCACGUCGUUAGUUGCAUAAUGUGAUAUAUUGCAUUAUUGCUCUCUAGCGAGACUGCCGGUGAUAAACCGGAGGAAGGUGUGGACGACGUCAAAUCAUCAUGCCCCUUAUGCUCUGGGCUACACACGUGUUACAAUGGAUGGGACAGCGAGCAGCGAACCUGCGAGGGCAAGCAAAUCUCUAAAAGCCAUCCUCAGUUCGGAUUGCACUCUGCAACUCGAGUGCAUGAAGUCGGAAUCGCUAGUAAACGCAGAUCAGCACGCUGCGUUGAAUACGUUCCCGGGUC
rnacentral:rRNA from 1 species